UACAGAGGUCUCAAGCGUUGUUCGGAUUCAUUGGGCGUAAAGGGUGCGUAGGCGGCGCGGUAAGUCGGGCGUGAAAUCUCGGGGCUUAACUCCGAAACUGCAUUCGAUACUGCCGUGCUUGAGGACGGGAGAGGAGACUGGAAUUUACGGUGUAGCGGUGAAAUGCGUAGAUAUCGUAAGGAAGACCAGUGGCGAAGGCGGGUCUCUGGACAGUUCCUGACGCUGAGGCACGAAGGCCAGGGGAGCAAACGGG
rnacentral:rRNA from 1 species